AGGAGCGAUGUUGGGGUGUACAGGUGAUUAUGCCGGAAUGAGUAACGAUAAAGCAGGUGAGAAUCCUGCUCGCCGAAAGCCUAAGGUUUCCUGGGGAAGGUAAAUCCGCCCAGGGUUAGCCGGUGCCUUAGUCGAGGCCGAAAGGCGUAGACGAUGGACAGCAGGUUAAUAUUCCUGCGCCACCUCUGCCCUAUACCGAUGGAGGGACGGCAUCCAGAAGGAGAGCGGUACGAGUAGAAAUGUCCGUGCAGCAGACUGAGAUGGCGGGAUAGGUAAAUCCGCCCGCGUAAUUCAAGGUCUGAGGCCGAGAGCGUUUAAGUUCUCGAAGUCUUUGGAAGGAUGUUCAAGAAAAUCUUCUAGGUGGGUAUGUGACCGUACUAAAACUGACACAGGUAGGUGAGACGAGUAGUCUAAGGCGCUCGGGAGAACGGUGGUUAAGGAACUCUGCAAAUUGACCCCGUAAGUUCGCGAUAAGGGGUGCCGUUGGAGGUUUACGCUUCCGGCGGCCACAGUAAAUCGGCUCCAACGACUGUUUAUCAAAAACACAGGACUCUGCUAACACGCAAGUGGAUGUAUAGAGUCUGACGCCUGCCCGGUGCCGGUAGGUUAAGGAAGGCGGUUAUCCCUUCGGGGAGAAGCUGGCGACCGAAGCCCCGGUAAACGGCGGCCGUAACUAUGACGGUCCUAAGGUAGAAUAGCUGCCUCCCUGUGAAGUAAUUCACAGGUAAACACUCGGCUGUAUGCGGGAAAAUCCUGAGAGCCCUCGCUUACGUUUCCAAAGCAAUCUGCGUUGGCGUAAUAAUGGCGAGGGAUUGGACAAUCCGCAGGAAACCCAUUUCGAUGGGGAUCCUCAGAGACUAUACGCCGAGUAUCCGGUAGGAGUGUGUUGUGGAUCUUAACGCAGAUUGGGUUGUCGGAUUUGUUGAUGGCGAAGGCUGCUUUCAUGUCAGCCUAAACCGUCAUGAAGAAAUGUCCGUCGGCUACCAGGUGCUACCAGAGUUUGUCGUUGUGCAACACGAGCGCGAUGUUCAGAUUCUGCAAGCUCUGAAACGGUUUUUCGGUGCCGGAGUUGUCCGGCGCAAUCACGGAGACCGUUAUUGUCUGCGAGUUCGCAAGCUCGAAGCUUUGGAAGCUAUCAGCGACUUCUUUGUUCAGCAUCCGCUGAAGACAAAAAAGAAUGUUGAUAGUCGAAAGUUUCGGCACAUUCUCCAGCUUAUGAAGCAAAAGCUACAUCUUGAAAAAGAUGGAUUGCUGAGAAUCAUUGAAAUCGCACUUGCGAUGAAUACGGCUCAGCGACCUGUUCUGGAAGAGAUUAAGCAACGUCUUCUGGCCGGAUAAAGAUAUAGUCCACGCUGGCAUGAAAGUGUCAGGUACUUCGUGAGCGAAGUUCCUUGUCGGGUAAGUUCCGACCUGCAUGAAUGGCGUAACGAUUGGAGCACUGUCUCAACCACCGACCCGGUGAAAUUGUAGUCGUGGUGAAGAUGCCACGUACCCGCAGCUAGACGGAAAGACCCCGUGAACCUUUACUGCAGGCUGAUAUUGGGCUGAGGUUUAUUAUGUGUAGGAUAGGUGGGAGGCUAUGAACCGGCGACGCCAGUCGUUGGGGAGCCAACCUUGAAAUACCACCCUUGAUACACUUUAGUUCUAACGUUGAUCCCGUGAAUCCGGGCAACGGACAGUGUCAGUUGGGCAGUUUGACUGGGGCGGUCUCCUCCCAAAAUGUAACGGAGGAGUGCAAAGGUACACUCAGCCUGAUUGGUAACCAGGCGUAGAGCGCAAAGGUAAAAGUGUGCUUAACUGCGAGACUUAUCAGUCGAGCAGAUGCGAAAGCAGGUCUUAGUGAUCCGGUAAUUCCGAAUGGAAGGGUUAUCGCUCAUCAGAUAAAAGGUACUCCGGGGAUAACAGGCUUAUCGCUCCCGAGCGUCCAUAGCGGCGGAGCGGUUUGGCACCUCGAUGUCGGCUCAUCACAUCCUGGGGGUGAAGAAGCUCCCAAGGGUUCGGCUGUUCGCCGAUGAAAGUGGUACGUGAGCUGGGUUCAGACCGUCGUGAGACAGGUCGGUCCCUAUCUACUGUGGGCGUUCGAAACUUGAGGGGAUUCUUCUUUAGUACGAGAGGAUUUGGAAGGACGAACCUCUGGUGUUCCAGUUGUCGCGCUAGCGGCAUGGCUGGAUAGCUAUGUUCGGAAAGGAUAAACGCUGAAAGCAUCUAAGCGUGAAGCCCCCCCCGAGAUUAGGUUUCGUACGUGUUUGACACGAGAGCCCCCUUGAAGACGACGAGGUUGAUAGGCUGGAUGUGUAAGCUCAGCAAUGGGUUUAGCUAACCAGUACUAACGGGCGAACGCUUGACCA
rnacentral:rRNA from 1 species